UAAGAAAAAUGGGUAGGAAAGAGCAAGGGUAGGGAAGACUAAGAGGGCUGCGGCAUUCAAAGUGCCCACAAAGCAGCAAAGUUGAAAAUAAAAUAAAAAAUGAACUCAAUCGAAUGGAAAAUUGACAAAAGGCUGGAAAUUGAAAUGAAAUGAAAGAGGAAAAGCAAGUAAGAAAGAAAAGAGAUAGUGGGUACUUUAUAUAGCUUAGAUUUCACUUCAGCCAUCCAUGAAAAUUGAUAAUAAGCCAAAGCUCAUUUUACAGAGCACCUUUUUUAGAAGCAUUUGGAUAGGGAAUAUGGGUAGAGAAUAGAGUCGAAGAAAGAUUGAACAGUGAUGAAACAUAAUAGUGUUAAUGUUGUUUCAAGUACAUAAUAGUUUUAAUGUUGUCUGAUUUCUGCCAUUACUAUAAAGUUGGAACUUUCUUUAUGUUAUUGACAAAGUUGAUUGAAUCUGUUGGUGAAAUUUCUUGGUUGGAUUUUAGGUUCAACUUUGUGUUGCAGUGAUUGUGUACAUAUGUGUGUUUAGCCUCUUUAAUUUAAGUGGUCUACAAACACAUGCUUUCUCUUGCUGCUUGCUCACUCUCUGUGAUUGAUAGAUUAUUUUGUUAGCAGAAAGGAGUAUAUUGCAUAUUCACAUGGCUUAAAGGUGCGGUAGUGAUGCUUCCCCAAUAAAGUUUCACUGUGUUGUGGUAAUUGCGUGCUUUUCUAUAUAUUCAUCCAUUUAAACUCUGCAGAUCCUUCAUGGUUGCUCUGCUGGAAACCAUGAAGGAUCUGAUAGGAGCUGGCUCAACGAUCCAAAAGAUACUGUGUUACUGACUGAUACAUGAGUACAUCAUAACGAAGCAUCAUGGGGGCUUAAUUGUUGGCUAAUUAUUUGCGCGACUGCUGCAUGUGAAGCUUUAAAAAGCUCACGAACAUGUUGCAGAGCGCGGAAUGAAUAUGGUACUAAAGUCAUUAUGUUCCAUCAGCGAGGAAGAAACAUCGACCCCACAUAUUGUGCUAUACAGAGCUUGAUACCUGUCCCUUUGAUGGUGUAUUUUUGAUUCGAGAGUGAUUCCAAAAAAUAUUUAGUGAUGGCAUUGGCAAGCAAUAUCAAUUUAAUUUGAUAUGAGUUUUUGCUUUAUCAACUUGAUCUCCUGAUAAUGCAUAGUGUAUGUGACUUUCGAAGUUCAAAUGCUACUUGCAGAACUGAAUUCUAUUAAGCAUUUACAGAUUCUAUUA